GAGUUUGAUCCUGGCUCAGGAUGAACGCUGGCGGUAUGCCUUACACAUGCAAGUCGAACGGGAAUUAGCUUCGGUUAAUUCUAGUGGCGGACGGGUGAGUAACACGUGAGAAUUCGCCUUUAGGAGGGGGAUAACGAAUGGAAACAUUCGCUAAAACCCCAUAUGCCCCUGGGUGAAACAGAGGAUAUCAGUUAAACUAACUAACCUCUGCCUGAAGAGAAGCUCGCGGCUGAUUAGCUAGUUGGUAGGGUAAUGGCCUACCAAGGCGACGAUCAGUAGCUGGUCUGAGAGGACGAUCAGCCACACUGGAACUGAGACACGGUCCAGACUCCUACGGGAGGCAGCAGUGAGGAAUUUUCUGCAAUGGGCGAAAGCCUGACAGAGCAAUACCGCGUGAGGGAUGAAGACUUACUGAGUUGUAACCCUCGGUACCUUAAGGAAGAAGAUAUGACGGUACUUAAGGUGGAAAGCACCGGCUAACUCCGUGCCAGCAGCCGCGGUAAGACGGGGGAUGCAAGUGUUAUCCGGAUUUACUGGGCGUAAAGCGUCUGCAGGUGGUUUCUUAAGUCUACUGUUAAAUCUUGAGGCUCAACCUCAAAUCUGCAGGAGUAUAG
rnacentral:rRNA from 1 species